UGCCGGUGAUGCAUAAAAAUGCACGUAUUAUCGGAGUACUCCAUGACGAUCAAAACAUAUAUUGUCACUACCACUGAGGCA